GAUUAAACCUGGGCUUCUGCUGAUUGCCAGUCAGUACAUAAAGAGUGUCAAGGUAAAAGCUGAGAAGUGUCGCAGCGCUAUUCCUAGAUCAAAAGAUAAAAAUUUGCAAGGGAGGGCAUCAGGUAUACUCCGGCCCUGCUUGGUCUCUGGCAGCAGUUCAAGUUCUUGGCUUGUCCUGGGCCUGUGCCCUACAAGGGGCAGCCAUCUGCCCUGGGCCAUCCUCUUCACAGGUCUCCCUCAGUUUCAGGCACGUGCCUCCCAGCCCUUGGGAACCCAUGACACACAGACUCCCCCUUGCAUCCGAAGCAGCAGCAUUGCUAUGGUAGGGAAGUACCAGUCCACAGUGACUGAAGUACACAAUCACUUCAGUACGCCUGUUAAAGCAGUAUUACAUGCCUGGAACAUCCUGCGCCUUUGAGGUAGAUUCUAGAAUGCCUCUGUGUGAUCAGUUUAACCCAGUACUAAUGCCUCUUCCAUCAACAGAUUCCUCAAAUGAGUGGCCUCAGUUCUUCCACCUAACCACUGGAGUCAACUGGAAGUCUGAACUCAUGAGGCAAGAAGAUCUGGGACUGCUCAGCCUGAGAAGAGGAGGCUUGGGGCAUUGCAUGAAUGCCCACAAAUACCUGAAGGGAGGAUACAAAGAAGGCAGGGCCAGGCUCUUCUCAGUGGUGCCCAAUGACUGGGCAAGAGGCAGUGGGUACACACUGGCACACAGGAGGUGCCGUCUGAACAUCAGGAAAUUUUUUCUGUGUGCAGGUAACAGAGCACUGGCACAGGAUGCCAGAGAGGUUGUGGAGUUUCCAUCCCUGAAUGCAUUCAAAACCCAAAUGGGCAUGGUCUUGGGCAACUGGCUGUGGGUGACUCUGCUUGAGCAGGGUGGGUUAGACCAGAUGGCCACCAGAGGUCCCUGCUAACUUCAGCCAUUCUGUGAUUUCAUCAUUCUGUGAAAUGUGACUACAGUAGUCUGAGAAAUGGCAUUGGUUCUGUUCGAGAAAUUGUUAAAUUUACUAGGAAAAAGAUUUUUUGUUUGUUUGUUUUAAUCUUAUAUGUCUGGAUCACUUCAACUGCUUAGAAAUAGGGUAUUUUUGUUGAUUUCUUUUUGGUUUUGGUUUUACUUCUUUUCUAAGGACAUGCUGUUGAAGACCUGCUAUUCUUAACAAGGUGGCAACAGACUGUAAAAGAGAAAACACUUAAAAAUUAUAAUAAAAAAGCACACCCUUAUUAUAGCA
rnacentral:lncRNA from 1 species